GGCGUGACGAUAGGUUUGAUGAGGGUGGGUCAAGAUGGAGGCCUGAGUACGUCAAGGUUUUGCUUAAAUAGGGAGGUGGUCUAGCAUAGUGGGCACAUAAAGUGAGGAGCUCCAGAACGAGCAGGUUCCAGCCCUUUCCCUGUCCUUCAGCGGCCAUGGUGGAAGACGCCAGAGAGCCCGAAAAGGAGCAAUAUACUCGCCGGCCACGUACCGUGUUUAGCCAAAAUCAACUGGCAGUAUUGAUGGAUACCUUUGAGAAGAACACUCAUCCAGACACUGAUGCUAUUCAUGAAUUGGCAUCAAAACUGAAUCUUGACGAAGUGGUGAUAAAGAACUGGUUUAAGAACCAGCGGAUGAAACAGAAGAAAAUCAGGCUAAAAGUGCAAGGAGAUGCAUCACCUGGAACAUCCACACAGCAGGUUUUGGAAGAGAAGGAGCCCCCACUACAAAAUCCUGCGACGAAUGCCUCACCAAUUGCUGGAUCUUCAGAUGACGGCAACCAUGAUCCACAGGAGCCCUCUGAGAGCCACAUCACCAGAAGAGAUGGAGCCCCUGUGUUGAGUUCAGCAGUGGACACUCCGCAUGAUAACGUCCAGGAUACGUGUAUGGGGGAUUUGGAUGUUCCUUGG
rnacentral:lncRNA from 1 species